rnacentral:lncRNA from 1 species
GGGAAGAAGAGACUUCAGGGGCUUUCCAGCUGUGUGAGAACAGAUGGCCAUAAACAAAAGGCAUAUGAGCAAAUAUUAGUUUUUUUUCCAAAAGCCUUUAUUCUGUUCAGGUUGCAGCUCUGCUAGGAAGGGAAGGCGGUAAGCGCAAAGCGGCUCGUUCCUGGUCACUGCUGAUGCUCUUGAAGAAAAGCACAUUGAAACGUGCCAUCAAAGGUAACAGCCCCGCAACACCAGGGAAGGAGCAGCCACAACGGGGAGGCGAGAGCCGGAGCCUCCUCCUGGAGGAGCCUCCUCCUGGAGGAGCGCGUCUGCAGAGGGAAGGGCGAAAAUGCAAAUCUGAAAUCAAUCCAUCUCCCUCUGCCUCGCACGCUUUGGCCAUCUAUAACAGUUUAAAGUGAAGUCAGUGGCUGAGGACAAGAAGGGAAGCUUGUAAAUCCAUUUACUACUUUCUGCACUGAAGGAGAAGCAGCGAAUUUAUAGUGGAAACGCAGGGAGGGCACGGAUGAGGUGUUCCACAUCAGCGGUAGAGGAUGGCUCAAAAAUAUCGGAGCAAACCUUUGAACAAACAGAAAGCCUCGGGAUGCGGAGGCAUCGAGCAGCUUUGUGGGCCCUUCCUCCCUCCCUGCCUUGGCUCCGAGGGUUUUUUUAGAGGCACAGAGGUGUCUGCACCACGGCUCCCCGGGGUUCCCCCUUUGCCUGUGGUCCCGUUGUGCUGACCUUGUGCCAAACGGGCACUUUCCUGGUGGAAAGAAGAGGGCGAGCAUGCCUCUGUCCUUCCUGCCCGGGGCUGGAGAAGUGGAUCUAAACAUGCCCAAGCCUGAUUUGUGGAUCCUUUUUUGUGGAUCCUAUUUAGGAUCCUUUUUGCAGCAUUCUGCUUGAAAGGACCACUUCCAGGGCGGGAUGCUAUUUAAAAGCUCUUUGGCGUGAAGAGUAAGUUUGUUAUAUUUCCUUUAUUUACCAGGUUUUGUAAAAGCAGUAAAUCAUGGAACAGAUUGCCCUGUAACUGUCCCCAGGUGUAAGGAGGACACAGCAACAAGCCCCGAGGGGCGACGCGAUUAAUCCCGCUCCGGAGGAAAGGCUGCCAUUAGUCAUCCGCAGCUCCGGCACCGGUGACUUUCAAGGUGUACAAAUCUCUCGUUAGAUACAUCCCAUGUUCUGCAGAUGGCCAUUUUGUCUUCUCGCUGCAUGCACUGGAACAUGCCCAAGUGUACAAAAAUGAGAGGAGAGAUUGUUAGGGCUGAAUUUUUUUUUUGUUCGUUUUCAAUGGGAUUUUUUCCCCUUUGCAUGGCGCACAUCCUGGGCUUUGAUAAAUGAGUCUCACCAGACACUGUGGUAAGCCAACCUCUGCUAAUAUUCAUUAUGCAGAACCCACCAGGAAAUGGUCUGAGUCAGGGAAAU